CGAAGCGAGACAACGUUGCUUCAGCAACGGCCCGAAGGGCGCGCAUCAACGAUGCGCGUAAUCCUCUCUCGCCGACCA
rnacentral:sRNA from 1 species